rnacentral:lncRNA from 1 species
CAAGUAUAAAAAUCUCGCGCAUUAAGAUCGUCAGUAAAACAUUAUACAAUUUACAAAAAUCUAUUUUUGUAUUAUUAAUAAUAAUAAUACAUCAUUAUAAUAAUGGAAUUCAUAUUAUUCAAGAUGAGCAUGAUUAUUUUAUUGUUCUAUAUUGUUGCAAUGGUUAAUACUAUGGUAGAAGGUAUAUAAUUGUUGUUGAAUUUUUAAUACAUUUUUUAAUUUCCCUAAUAUAAAUAUUCAAUUUAUUAUAUCCAUUGAAUGUGUAUUCGUGUAUUACAAUAAAUUAAUACAUUUUAUUCACGUGCUGUAAGUUGUAUAAUUUGCAGGAGCACCUAAAUCCCUUUGGUACUCACAAGAAGACCCAUUUAGCGGUGAGUUUUCAUUAAAUUAAAAACAUACAUUAUCUGAUUUGCAAUACCUGUUCAUAAUAACUAAUAUUAUAAUAACACGCCUACUUGAAGUAGUAUUAUUAUUGUCAUUUAUUUACUAACAAAAACAUUCGGAAAUUUAAAUGUACUUAUUUAAAUGGCCCACUGAGCAAGCUCGUGUGGGACCUAGGUAUACUUUUAAUUAUGGAAUCAAAUUUAUUAAAAUUUAAGUACAUAUCUACGCACGUAGUAUUUUAUUAAUAAAUAAUACUAAUUUAUACUGAUAAUUAACUUUAUGUAAUAAGGAUUAAGCUUAGGCUUAUGUUUGUAAUAUAUUUAUUGUCAGUGCAAUCUAAACCACUUUUUCCCCCAGAACUCUCAAUAGGUCAUCGAAAUUAAAAUGUCAUAUUUUUUCUUAACAGGUUCACCAAUAUAAUUCAUAUAUUAAUAUAAAUCAAAAAAGGUAAGAUAAAAAAGUACCUAAUUUUUAUUAAUUACUAUUGAAUUAUUUAAUUUUAUAAAUAUUGCAGGUAACUAUAUAACAUAUAUAGUAUUAAAAUGUUUAAAUAAUAAAUAGUCCAAACUGAGAUGGUUUAGGCAUGACAUGAAUAGAGGAAUUGGAAACAAUAGAAAUAUUAAUCAAAAUAAAUGUAGGGGGGGAAAGAGUGGAAAAGGAAGACCAAAAAAGAGAUGGUACGAUGUAAAUUGUAUAAGGAUGACAGCUGUAUGUAAGGAUUACGUGACUUUAAAAUUUUUAAUCCAUCGAGGCAAUGUGAAGUAACUGAUUAUAUUUAUAGUUAUAUUUUCAGGCAUUUUAAGGCCAAAAGUAAUGUAACCCAAAACCACCCCCACCCCUAAAAAAAUACAUUUAAUACAACGUGGGAAAAAUAAAUUGAGCAAGUUUUUUUUUUUUAAAUAUUAAAUAAGUAUCUUUAGAAUAAAAUGUACUAAUAAAAUCUAAUACAUUUAUAUAGGAAUUAUGGAUCCUCAACAAAGUUUCCAAUUCAGUGCACAAGUUAAAGAAAUUAAAGAAGAAUUUAAAUUUAAAAAUUAUACUCACCGCAGUAUUUACUUGUUAUUAAUAUUAAUUUAACAUCUAAUUAGGGGUAUAUAUU